rnacentral:rRNA from 1 species
GGCGGCGUGCCUAAUACAUGCAAGUCGAACGGUCUUUCUAUGGAAGCUUGCUUCCACUGAGAAGAUAGUGGCGAACGGGUGAGUAACACGUGGGUAACCUGCCCAUAAGAGGGGGAUAACAUCCGGAAACGGGUGCUAAUACCGCAUAGUUUUCUUGAUCGCAUGAUCGGGAAAGGAAAGACGGCCUUUGUGCUGUCGCUUAUGGAUGGACCCGCGGCGUAUUAGUUAGUUGGUGAGGUAACGGCUCACCAAGACGAUGAUACGUAGCCGACCUGAGAGGGUGAUCGGCCACAUUGGGACUGAGACACGGCCCAAACUCCUACGGGAGGCAGCAGUAGGGAAUCUUCCGCAAUGGACGAAAGUCUGACGGAGCAACGCCGCGUGAGUGAAGAAAGGUUUUCGGAUCGUAAAACUCUGUUGUCAGAGAAGAACAAGUUGGAGAGUAACUGCUCCAGCCUUGACGGUAUCUGACCAGAAAGCCACGGCUAACUACGUGCCAGCCGCUGC